UAUACUUCUCCAGAAAAAAGGAACCCCAUAUGCAUAUCUUCCUUUCUAUUCUUUCUCCAGAAACCAAACCCAUAUGUCCCUUUCAAUUCCACCUAUCUCUGUCAUGUGUCAUUUUCCACAAACAUAAUUUGUUAUUUUCUCAACUUCUUCUCUGGUUAAUUUAUGCUUCCAAACUUCUUCGUACAAGUAGUUGAGAGAGAGAGAGAGAGAGAGAUUGAUUGGGGAUGUUUUUGGCUUUGAUUUGGGAUUGUAAUAAAAAUCAACAAGAGAUAAGGACAAAGUUUUCCUGGGUAUCGAGCAAAGCUUUCUCUGGGGGUCUUGGUUGGCCCCGCUCUUUUCAACCAACCUUACGUCGCCCCGCAUUGCGAUAUGAACGGACAAGAAGAAAGAACACAGGCAGCAAAAAUGCAAAAGAGGGCAGAUUGUGGAAAUGUGGGUUUGAUUUUGGGUUAAUAAAAAUAUUAAUAUUUUAAUUUUUUUUAUAUUAGAUUUAAUUUUGGAGGAAUCAAUUUCAAAAUUUUGAAAUUAAAAUUUAACUCGAUAAGAAUUUUUAAUCAGCAAAUUUUUAAUCAUGGAUUUCCUCCGGUGCUUAACUACUGAUACAAAAGUGCUCAUCGAAUACCAUUACUCUGCCCUUCAAGGAGAAUUAGAAAAACACAGGAAUGCUACUCUUGAAGGAAACGAAACUCAUUAUGGUGCUUCGAAUGGCAAGGUAAUAUCAUCCCCCUCAUUUGAUCCGAGAAAAUCGAUGACGCUACAGCUGGUCUGCGUGAAAGCUUUGCAACACCAGGGAAACAAGGAGCUCUAAGCAAAUUGUCCUUGGAAGCACUGUCUUAAUAGUAGAAAGACUCGCUGCAGCAGGCCCAACUGAUAACUGCAUGAAAGAUCCGUUGAUGCUUGACAAGAUCGCAUCCUUGCUGAUCUUGUUUCCCCAGAAAGACAAAAUAUACGUUGUGUUGUUUUACAUUGUUUCUGUUCUGAUGUUGAUCAUUCAGCUGGUUUUUAGAUUUGACCGUGUAGAUCUGGUCGUUCAAGGAAUUGCAACUACGUCCAUACGAGGAAAAUACACAAUUUUUUUUAUA